rnacentral:lncRNA from 1 species
CUAUUACAAGAAUGUACAACCUUGUGUUUGGCGCAGCAUGGCCCAGGUGGCCCUUGUGCCAGUACCUACUACUACUGACUGACUCUCAUUACUAAUGUUUAUUAGGACACUUAUCUUAAUAAACAAAACACCAAAACUGAGAAGUGCACAAAAAGGCAUUUUUACAUAUCAGACCAUGGGUUUGGGAAUUGAACCGAGGUCCAAUGCAUUAAUAGCAAAAUUUGUGACAUUGCCAUUGUCAUCUGCAUUUUUGUCCUUUAUUGCAAAAUAUGAAGUUAAAUCAUGUGAAAUCCAUUUGGUUUAUUGAUGUGCCUGAUUUAUUGCUAACUUUUAUAUUUUCUUUGUGAUAUCAC